rnacentral:ncRNA from 1 species
GUGAAGUUUUAUUCUUGCUUUUUCGUUCAGUGUUUGUUUGUUCUAUAUGUAAGUUUUUGCGUGAGUUGGUUAUGGAUCUAGAUGGUCUAUGAAGUGGGUAAUUUGAUUCUCAUUAGUUAUUAUUGGUUGUUCAAGUAUUCUUGUAUUUAGCAAUAUAUUUUAGUUUCGGUUAAAUUUUGUGCCAGCAGCCGCGGUUAUACCUUGGAAGCAUUUGAAUGUGUUUGGCAUCAGGUAGUUAUAUUACUAUAAUUUGUUGAUUAUAUUUUGUUUGUUGUUAGGUGAAAUUUUUAUUGUUUUUGUUUUCUUGUUUUUAUUUGGAGGCUAUGAAGCUCUUUUUUUAAACUAGGAUUAGAUACCCUAUUAUUUAGAGUGUUAAUUGGUUGUGCUUGAGUAGUAUUAGUUAUGUUCUUGAAACUUAAAGAAUUUGGCGGUAUCUCAUUCCGUCCAGAGGAAUCUGUCUCGUUAUCGAUAGUCCACGUUGGACCUUACUUAGUUGCUUUGGUUUGUAUACCGCCGUUUAUUGAUUAUCUUUUUAGAGUUUAUUUAAUUUUCUGGUUUCUUUAUUUUGAUUUAUUUCAGGUCAAGGUGCAGCUUGUUUCUAAGUGAAUGAUGGAUUACAUUGAUUUAUUUGUUUAUGGAUUAUUGGUUUUAAUAUUAAUAUGAAAUUGGAUUUGGUUGUAAUGAUUUGUAGAUUGUUAUUAUGAUAAAUGGUUCUGGGAUAUGCACACAUCGCCCGUCGCUCUCGUUUGUUGUUAAUGAGAUAAGUCGUAACAAAGUGGUUGUACCGGAAGGUGCAGCUGGAUUG